rnacentral:misc_RNA from 1 species
GAUGAAGAACGUAGCGAAAUGCGAUAAGUAAUGCGAAUUGCAGAAUCCGUGAGUCAUCGAAUCUUUGAACGCACAUUGCGCCCCUUGGUUAUUCCGAAGGGCAUGCCUGUUCGAGCGUCAUUAUCACCCCUCAAGCCCUGGCUUGGUGUUGGACUUUAGUUAUAGCUUUGCCUAUCAACUGGUCUCAAAGAUAGUGACGGCGCCCCAGAGGGAACCGGGUACGAGGAGCUUUUUUCUAAGCAUGUAUCUGGGACGACUCUGGGCGACGGUCUUGUUAUACUUUUUACCUAAGUGUUGACCUCGGAUCAGGUAGGAAUACCCGCUGAACUUAAGCAUAUCAAUAAGCGGAGGA